GAGACCUUCCCAGACUGCACUAUUACAGACCUCAACUCCUGGUCCCUCAGGCCCCAGCACGCGAUCCGAUUCUGUGCUCCAUUCUCCCCCACAGCUGGUAUCGCUCUCCAAGCUGCAACUUGUUUUGCUUGUCUUGUUUCUUGUCUGCCGGCCGGUCGACUGCAAGCCCCAUGAGGGGCAGGGUUGAUGGCUUUUUUCUCGUUUUGUUCGGGGCUGCGCCCGCAGCGCACCCCGUGUCAGGGGCACGGCUGGAUUAACUCUCUGCUGAAUGCACGUAUACAAGACUGAAGCACGUCACUGAGGGUGGACACACAGGACACUGUGAUGCAAAUUGUGGAAUGACAUUCAGGAAGCGGGAAGCCCGGAAGCUUUGAAGCUGUGCUUGGCAGCUGGCCUGGUGGUAACAGAGAGCUCGGCGAAGACAGAAAUACCCCAUCCUAGUUUUCUCUGUCUUCUCUGUCGGUGGAAAUGAUCUAAAAACUGAGAGGGAAGAAAGACUUAUGUAAUGAGAUCAAUUAGCUCCGAGACAUUCAUGAGAGAAGACAGACCCCUUUCUUCAACUUCUCUCCAUCACUUCAAGCCUCCUCCUACCCCUCCUUCCAGCUGGCAGGAAAUCCAGUCUCCAUGAUUUUGUGGAAGACUCUUCCCUACAAGACCUGGCCGGAGAGACCCAUGUCAAGUCCUGGUUAACUUGAAGUGUGUGGUUCAAGAAAGGAGAGGAAACCACCAGCUGGUGCCGAAGGCUUUCCAGGAGAUCAGAUGGGUCCAAGGGAGGACGUCCCGGGGGCACUAGAGCGAGGCUCGUUGGAGGCAUGGAGAUAAUUAGGAAUCUUUGAGCAAAUAUGGGGAAUGAUUGAGUUGCAAGAUAGAGUACCUUCAUUUUGGCAAGAUGAUUUAUGAGUAUUCUUGAUACUUACCUCUGCAGACAAGUUGGGGGGGAUAUUGGCCAGAGGAGUCCACACCCCACGUACAUUGCACACUUACUGUGCUCUGCGUUGAAAUCACAGAGAUGAAUAAAACAUGGUCCUUGUCUUGGAGAAACAGCCUGGAGGCCAUGGUAUCCGAGUUCCCACCAUUAGAGUUACUUUUUAGUUAAACUACUUCAUGAAGCCACCGCUUAAUGGAAGGAGGAAGGAACAAUCUAAUGAUUCCACGAGUGGUUGUCUAGUCUCAGUUGGUUUACAAGAUUAGUUGCGUAGAUCUAGAAGGAGCCAGGAACAGGAAUCGUUUGUUGAUUGUUGCGCUCAGGCUCUGGACAAAAGAGAACCGCCGAUUCAAUCUCUGCCUCCUUCACAGCUUGCCAAUCAAAGAGAGGCACAGAAGUAGGGCACAGAGAGCAGGAAGAAACAUCUAAACGUGAAUGGCGGUGAGAUAUUUAUAGCGUGCGGAGCUCUGGAAUGCACAGCUGCAACCCGCAGGGAAAUGACCAGUGGGCAGACCUAUCUGUCAAUCCAGCCUGCGCUCGGUCCCUCGCGUUCCGAUGCGCACCGGGCCGGGUGCCCAGCCCUGCUCGGGGAGUCUUGAGCUUUCGUAGUCACAACAACAACCACAAAAUUCCUAAGGAUCUUGAAGAGGUAAAACCCAGAUUGUAAAGGCCCAAGAGAGACUACGGCACUGGGAGACACAAGCAAUGAUUGUGGACUGCUCCUUGAGAAGUUCUACAACAAAUAGAAGGAGAAAGAUAGUUCAAGUUAAGGCCAGAGCUAAGGGGAAGGCUUCAGUGAUGCCCCAGAAACCUCCUACCUCUGGGAGAGCUGCUUUAAAUUUUCAGAGAUUAUGCACGCUUCUUGUUCAACUGGCUUGACACACUCCCACGGUGGAUGUGUUUACACUGCAGACAUCGGCAAAUGCUACCGAUCAACCACCUGCCCUCACGCCCAGCCGGUUGUGAAACCCUUCACCUCUGUGAAGAUGGAGAAGGGCCCCUGCACUCGCUGUGGAAAACAACAGAAUUUCACAACGUUUCAGGGCUGCUGGUGGGAGAAGGCGACCAGCUGCUUCCUUGCUUAAGACGACAGUCCCACAGGCUCCCUUGCAAAUGUCAGAAAUGUCAGACCUACUCCCAGACAAAUACCUCAGGAAAGACAUUCUCAGGGCAGCUGAGGACACUGGUUCUGUUCCCUCGUAUCAAUAGUGCCUUUGACUAAUGCACUUGGCUCUCGGCUGCCGAGACUUCCAGUGGGGAAUGCUUUGCAACUCUAUAUGGUACAUCAUCUGGCCCAUAAAUAAAA